rnacentral:rRNA from 1 species
GAUGAACGCUAGCGCUAGGCUUAACACAUGCAAGUCGAGGGGCAGCAUGGUCUUAGCUUGCUAAGACUGAUGGCGACCGGCGCACGGGUGCGUAACGCGUAUGCAACUUGCCUCACAGAGGGGGAUAACCCGUCGAAAGACGGACUAAUACCGCGUACACUUGGGAUAGGGCAUCCUGACCCAAGGAAAUGAAAUUCGCUGUGAGAUAGGCAUGCGUCCCAUUAGCUAGUUGGUGAGGUAACGGCUCACCAAGGCGACGAUGGGUAGGGGAACUGAGAGGUUGAACCCCCACACUGGUACUGAGACACGGACCAGACUCCUACGGGAGGCAGCAGUGAGGAAUAUUGGUCAAUGGGCGAGAGCCUGAACCAGCCAAGUCGCGUGAAGGAUGACUGUCUUAUGGAUUGUAAACUUCUUUUAUACGGGAAUAACAAGAGUCACGUGUGGCUCCCUGCAUGUACCGUAUGAAUAAGCAUCGGCUAACUCCGUG